GGAGGGGUGCAAGCGUUAAUCGGAAUUACUGGGCGUAAAGCGCACGCAGGCGGUUUGUUAAGUCAGAUGUGAAAUCCCCCGGGCUCAACCUGGGAACUGCAUCUGAUACUGGCAAGCUUGAGUCUCGUAGAGGGGGGUAGAAUUCCAGGUGUAGCGGUGAAAUGCGUAGAGAUCUGGAGGAAUACCGGUGGCGAAGGCGGCCCCCUGGACGAAGACUGACGCUCAGGUGCGAAAGCGUGGGGAGCAAACAGGAUUAGAUACCCUGGUAGUCCACGCCGUAAACGAUGUCGACUUGGAGGUUGUGCCCUUGAGGCGUGGCUUCCGGAGCUAACGCGUUAAGUCGACCGCCUGGGGAGUACGGCCGCAAGGUUA
rnacentral:rRNA from 1 species